rnacentral:misc_RNA from 1 species
AAGUCGUAACAAGGUUUCCGUAGGUGAACCAGCGGAGGGAUCAUUACCGAGUUUACAACUCCCAAACCCAUGUGAACAUACCUGUCUUGUUGCUUCGGCGGCGCCCACGGCCCUCACGGGCUUGGGGCCCGCCAGAGGACCCAAACAAAACUCUUUGCAUUUUGAAUACAGUAUUCUGAGUGACAUGAUUAAAUAAAAUCAAAACUUUCAACAACGGAUCUCUUGGCUCUG